AUUGAACGCUGGCGGCAUGCCUUACACAUGCAAGUCGAACGGCAGCACGGGGGCAACCCUGGUGGCGAGUGGCGAACGGGUGAGUAAUGCAUCGGAACGUGCCCAGUAGUGGGGGAUAACUAGUCGAAAGAUUAGCUAAUACCGCAUACGACCUAUGGGUGAAAGCGGGGGAUUCGCAAGAACCUCGCGCUAUCGGAGCGGCCGAUGUCUGAUUAGCUAGNGGCGGGGUAAAGCCCACCAAGGCUUCGAUCAGUAGCUGGUCUGAGAGGACGACCAGCCACACUGGGACUGAGACACGGCCCAGACUCCUACGGGAGGCAGCAGUGGGGAAUUUUGGACAAUGGGCGCAAGCCUGAUCCAGCCAUGCCGCGUGC
rnacentral:rRNA from 1 species